rnacentral:lncRNA from 1 species
GUUUUGGAGUGCAGGCGUGAAUAGUCCUUUCUGUCCUGCUUUGAGUACUGCUGUUGGGUGCCUUGGGGGGACCUUAAGGGAGCUCGGAAGUUGAGACGUGGUGAGUGCGAGAUCACUGCCCACAAAGGGGAGGAGCAGGCGGAUGAACAGCCAGAGCUGCAAUGGUGGAUCCUCCUCCAGGGCUGCAUGGGACGACAGAUAGAUGAGGCUCUAGGACGGGCACAAAUGCUACCCGAAUGCAAACCACUCCGGAGAUCUGUAAAAGGACUGGCCCCGGACAGGAAGCACACUUUAAACUAGAGGCGGGGUAAGACUCGUGGGCCAAUCAAGGCUUCCGAACAGAACUGCCAUUCUGGCAAUGAGGCGGGGUCUUCCGGUUGCCUGCUGGAAGUUUGUUUUUGCUCUGCAGGAUUGAAGGGUUCUCCCUAUGCUGCUUUGAGCGCUGCUAUUGGGUGCCUUGAGGGGACCUCAAGUAAGCUCCAUUUUUGAAACAUGAGUCAAAGCCCCGGUGAAGAUUCUGUGACGGUUCAUUGUAUAAUUUAUGAUGAUGAAGAUUGAGUUGCAUUUUGCGGAAAAGAGAUGUUGAGAUAUCUAAGGCAUUGAGAAAUCUGUCAUGCAGACAUGCACACAGGGAGAGGGAGUACCCAAACUGAUGAGAACUUACAGGAAUUGGACCAUCUAAGCCCUUAGAAAGUGAAGUCCACUGUGUCUCAAACAAAGAUCUUCAUCCACAUCUUGAAGUUUGAAGUUUGGCCAAGAAUAUACAGAGUAGAUUCUCUUUCUCAGGAUGGCAAGUGUUCAUGACAUCAAUACUACCCAAGGCUUCAGAGUCAUUGGAUUGCAGGAUUAUGCUUUGUGUUGUCCAAAUCUAUGGGAUAUUUUAGGAUGCAGUGACUUAUGAUGAUGUGAGUGUGAACUUCACUGAGGAAGAGUGGGAUUUGCUGGAUCCUUCCCAGAAAAGUCUCUAUGAAGAGGUGAUGCUGGAGACCUACCAGAACAUCACUGCUAUAGGUAAGUGAAUUUCCUCUUGCUUUUCUGAAUAAGGG